rnacentral:ncRNA from 2 species
GGACGAAACUCUGGAGAGACCCUGCCAGACAGGGCGCCGAAGGGGCAAAGCGGUCAGACUUUACCGUUAAAUCUCUCAGGCAAAAGGACAGAGCAAGUGCG